UACAGAGGUCUCAAGCGUUGUUCGGAUUCAUUGGGCGUAAAGGGUUCGUAGGUGGCGCUGUAAGUCGGGUGUGAAAUUUCGGAGCUUAACUCCGAAACUGCAUUCGAUACUGCGGUGCUUGAGGACUGGAGAGGAGACUGGAAUUUAUGGUGUAGCAGUGAAAUGCGUAGAGAUCAUAAGGAAGACCAGUGGCGAAGGCGGGUCUCUGGACAGUUCCUGACACUGAGGCACGAAGGCCAGGGGAGCAAACGGG
rnacentral:rRNA from 1 species